rnacentral:rRNA from 1 species
GACGAACCGUGCGAACGUUGUUCGGAAUCACUGGGCUUAAAGGGCGCGUAGGCGGUCCAUCAAGUCUGGGGUGAAAUCUUUCGGCUUAACCGGAAAAGUGCCUGAGAUACUGAUGGACUUGAGGGAGAUAGGGGGAGCUGGAACUUCCAGUGGAGCGGUGAAAUGCGUUGAUAUUGGAAGGAACUCCGGUGGCGAAAGCGAGCUCCUGGAUCUCUUCUGACGCUGAGGCGCGAAAGCUAGGGGAGCAAACGG